AAUAACUGCGGCGGCUUACCAUGCAAGUCGACCGGUAGCAGGAGAAAGCUUGCUUUCUUGCUGACGAGUGGCGGACGGGUGAGUAAUGCUUGGGAAUCUGGCUUAUGGAGGGGGAUAACUACUGGAAACGGUAGCUAAUACCGCGUAAUAUCGGAAGAUUAAAGGGUGGGACCGAAAGGCCACCUGCCAUAAGAUGAGCCCAAGUGGGAUUAGGUAGUUGGUGGGGUAAAGGCCUACCAAGCCGACGAUCUCUAGCUGGUCUGAGAGGAUGACCAGCCACACUGGAACUGAGACACGGUCCAGACUCCUACGGGAGGCAGCAGUGGGGAAUAUUGCACAAUGGGGGGAACCCUGAUGCAGCCAUGCCGCGUGAAUGAAGAAGGCCUUCGGGUUGUAAAGUUCUUUCGGUGAUGAGGAAGGCAGAUAAGUUAAUAGCUUAUUUGAUUGACGUUAGUCACAGAAGAAACACCGGCUAACUCCGUGCCAGCAGCCGCGGUAAU
rnacentral:rRNA from 1 species